rnacentral:rRNA from 1 species
UACAGAGGUCUCAAGCGUUGUUCGGAUUCAUUGGGCGUAAAGGGUGCGUAGGUGGCGCCGUAAGUCAGGUGUGAAAUUUCGGAGCUUAACUCCGAAACUGCAUUUGAUACUGCGGUGCUUGAGGACUGGAGAGGAGACUGGAAUUUACGGUGUAGCAGUGAAAUGCGUAGAGAUCGUAAGGAAGACCAGUGGCGAAGGCGGGUCU